rnacentral:rRNA from 1 species
CCUACGGGUGGCAGCAGUGAGGAAUAUUGGUCAAUGGGCGCGAGCCUGAACCAGCCAAGUAGCGUGAAGGAUGACUGCCCUACGGGUUGUAAACUUCUUUUAUAAAGGAAUAAAGUCAGGCACGUCUGCCUUUUUGUAUGUACUUUAUGAAUAAGCAUCGGCUAACUCCGUUCCAGCAGCCGCGGUAAUACGGAGGAUCCGAGCGUUAUCCUGAUUUAUUUGGUUUAAAGGCAGCGUAGAUGGGUUGUUAAGUCAGUUGUGAAAGUUUGCGGCUGAACCGUAAGAUUGCAAUUGAUACUGGCAGAGUUGAGUACAGUUGAGGUAGGGGGAAUUCGUGGUGUAGCGGUGAAAUGCUUAGAUAUCACGAAGAAGUCCGAUUGCGAAGGCAGCUUAC